ACACAAAGCACAACGGAAAUAGGAAAAAAGACAACGGAAAUGUUCCUGGGGAGACAAUAACCCGACGGACCAGUUGCACGAACCAAAACAUGCUAACCAGUGCGCUAGGACUGGGAGACACUUCAAAGAAGUGGAGGAGAGGCAAUGUAUUGUCCAUAUUGUGGAAUCCAGCUAGUGGGGCAAAUUGGAGUUUUUUGUGGGUCCUGUGGAACUAACAUUCAAGUUUUAGCACCUUUUAUAGAGAAUGGCCCAGUCUCAGUCACAGACAUCAUCAAUAAGUAUUUCUCUGAGGGCCAUACAUAUGAAGUGAUCCUGGAUUUUCUUGAAAACAAGCAUAAUAUUUGUAUGAGUCUGAGAAC